CCUUGAUGGCGACCGGCGCACGGGUGAGUAACGCGUAUGCAACCUGCCCGAUACCGGGGUAUAGCCCAUGGAAACGUGGAUUAACACCCCAUAGUACUUUUAUCCUGCCUGGGAUGGGAGUUAAAUGUUCAAGGUAUCGGAUGGGCAUGCGUCCUAUUAGUUAGUUGGCGGGGUAACAGCCUACCAAGACGAUGAUAGGUAGGGGUUCUGAGAGGAAGGUCCCCCACAUUGGAACUGAGACACGGUCCAA
rnacentral:rRNA from 1 species